rnacentral:rRNA from 1 species
AUUGCCGAGUGGUUCCGCUGCUAGGGAUCGACCAGACUCUCCUACUGGUCGGUGUGACCUUGACUCUGUGCCAGGUCUGAGGAUGCCCUCCGUCGUCACCCCUUAUAACGUGUUACCCGCGUUCGGACUACGUCGGUACGGCGCACAUACUUCUUCCGGAAGCCCAACAUUUCAUGAAAGUCGCCCCUCCUUCCACAACACCAAUUAUUGGCGUCGUUAACUGCAAUGGGCGUCUUCUUCGUGGCCGAUUGAGGCACGGCCGCCGCCGCCAUUAUGCCUCCCACGGUCGCCAGUUAGUUCUUAAUGACCGGCAUUUGACCCUCGCGUCCGUACGAGACUGCUUUAAGCUACUCGUUAAGGUCCCGAUUAUCGAACCUUUGACAAGACUUGUUGUCUGUUACCUUUCUAAUCCACUCUAGCUAUGACGAAUGAGACUUCAGUCAUAGCCGCAUCGAAUCGCUUAGUAGGCUAUCCUAUAUCCUCAGCUCUACUAAUCACGAAUACUUCCAUACACGAUCGUCUACUACUAGACUCUGUGUGAGAUCGUGCACAAUCGAGUACAUCACGACAUAUCUCGAUUCUUAUACGACGAGUAUAUCUUCUCAUCAUCUACUCUCCGUGCGACUAUCACAUGUAUUCAUCAUAUGCUGCUCACGCUCAGCUUAUAGUACGAUAGCACAUCAUACCCAUGUAGUCACUUGCUGACAAGAUGAUUCUCCAUCAUCACUCUUAACACAUAUCUGGUAGUCGUGUGCGCUUCCUUCUCUGAGACGCGAAUACGUGACAAUGAAAAAUAUAAAUAAUAUAUAACUACUUCUGAGUGGAAGGUACAUGUGGUGCCGCUGCCGUCUGUGUUUUAUAUAUACUUCCAAUACAUACGUAUAUCAGCUUACCUUGGCAGCGUCGCUCGACCGCCACACCGCAGGAUGGCGAUGUCGAUGAGUCGGUUAUUGUAAAUUUAUUGAUCCCAAGUCCGGCGGACAGAAACCUAUAUCUUGGUCCACGACUUCCCAUAAGAACUUGGAUAGAGAUGCCUUUCUGCCUUCGGGAACUGUGAGACAGGUGAUGCAUGGCUGUCGUCAGCUCAUGUUGUGAAAUGUAGGUUAAGUCCCGCAACGAGCGCAACCCUUAUCCUUUUUUGCCAGCGGUCCGGCCGGGAACUCAAAGGAGACUGCCAGUGAUAAACUGGAGGAAGGUGGGGAUGACGUCAAGUCAUCAUGGCCCUUACGACCAGGGCUACACACGUGCUACAAUGGCAUAUACAAAGAGAAGCGACCUCGCGAGAGCAAGCGGACCUCAUAAAGUAUGUCGUAGUCCGGAUUGGAGUCUGCAACUCGACUCCAUGAAGUCGGAAUCGCUAGUAAUCGUGGAUCAGAAUGCCACGGUGAAUACGUUCCCGGGCCUUGUACACACCGCCCGUCACACCAUGGGAGUGGGUGCAAAAGAAGUAGUAGCUAACUUCGGAGGGCGCUACCACUUUGAUCAGACGGUGAAAUCCCCUUAUUAUUGAUAGUAUUUUUUUCAUUAAGAGU